rnacentral:rRNA from 1 species
GACGAACGCUGGCGGUGUGCUUAACACAUGCAAGUCGAACGGUAAGGCCCUUUCGGGGGUACACGAGUGGCGAACGGGUGAGUAACACGUGAGUAACCUGCCCUCAUCUCUGGGAUAACAGUCGGAAACGGUUGCUAAUACUGGAUAUGAGCUUGCAAGGCAUCUUGUGGGUUGGAAAGAUUUUUUUUGGUUGGGGAUGGACUCGCGGCCUAUCAGCUUGUUGGUGAGGUAGUGGCUCACCAAGGCUUCGACGGGUAGCCGGCCUGAGAGGGCGACCGGCCACAUUGGGACUGAGAUACGGCCCAAACUCCUACGGGAGGCAGCAGUGGGGAAUAUUGCACAAUGGACGGAAGUCUGAUGCAGCAACGCCGCGUGCGGGAUGACGGCCUUCGGGUUGUAAACCGCUUUCAAUUGUGACGAAGCUUUUUCGUGACGGUAGCAGUAGAAGAAGCACCGGCUAACUACGUG